GCGCCCGUAGCUCAGCUGGAUAGAGCGCAGCCCUCCGGAGGCUGAGGUCAGAGGUUCAGAAUCCUCUCGGGCGCGCCA
rnacentral:tRNA from 1 species